rnacentral:rRNA from 1 species
UACGUAGGGUGCAAGCGUUGUCCGGAAUUAUUGGGCGUAAAGAGCUUGUAGGCGGUUUGUCGCGUCGGCCGUGAAAACUUGGGGCUUAACCCCAAGCCUGCGGUCGAUACGGGCAGACUUGAGUUCGGCAGGGGAGACUGGAAUUCCUGGUGUAGCGGUGAAAUGCGCAGAUAUCAGGAGGAACACCGGUGGCGAAGGCGGGUCUCUGGGCCGAUACUGACGCUGAGGAGCGAAAGCGUGGGGAGCGAACAGG